AAAGAGAACAGCUCAUGUUCGUGUCCAGACCUGCUGUGGGCCACACCUUGUUGCCAACAGGAUUUAGAAGAGGAUCUCUAACGUGAUCUGAGCUAAAAAUCUGUCGUGGCAUCUGUACCAUGGAACUGUCGAUACUGUGGGUCGUGUGUUGAAGGUCUGGUCACUGGUGCCUCUGGAUCGAGAUAAUACACUUCGUUGGUUCGGACGUACGGGAUGAACUGGGCCGAGGGAGGCCUUCCAGCCUCGGGGACUGGAG